GUGCUAACAACUUCCACAGCACAUAUAUUAAAAUUGGAACGAUACAGGGAAGAUAAGCAUGGCCCUGGACAAGGAUGAUAUGCAAAUUCGUGAAGUGCUCCGUUUUUUG